rnacentral:lncRNA from 1 species
UCGAAUUUUGAACACAAUGUUCAGAAACUGAUGACGUUGCACGUCAUAUACUCAGAAUCAGAACUGUCUGUUAAAUGUACACAAUAACAAACCAUUAGGAUAUCAAAAUUAUUCUCACACAAAUACAACAUUGUUAUCAUCAAAACUUAAAGUAUAGAUGCAAAACUAAAUCUUGUUCUAACACUCGUAUCAUCAUGUUAGAAUACCUAAAAAAAUAAAAUUAAAAACAAAUAUGAAGAGAUCACAAAAUAAUACAUAAAAAAAAUU